CCUACGGGUGGCUGCAGUCGAGAAUCAUUCACAAUGGGGGAAACCCUGAUGGGGCGACGCCGCGUGGGGGAAUGAAGGUCUUCGGAUUGUAAACCCCUGUCAUGUGGGAGCAAAUUAAAAAGAUAGUACCACAAGAGGAAGAGACGGCUAACUCUGUGCCAGCAGCCGCGGUAAUACAGAGGUCUCAAGCGUUGUUCGGAAUCACUGGGCGUAAAGCGUGCGUAGGCUGUUUCGUAAGUCGUGUGUGAAAGGCGCGGGCUCAACCCGCGGACGGCACAUGAUACUGCGAGACUAGAGUAAGGGAGGGGGAACCGGAAUUCUCGGUGUAGCAGUGAAAUGCGUAGAUAGCGAGAGGAACACUCGUGGCGAAGGCGGGUUCCUGGACAUUAACUGACGCUGAGGCACGAAGGCCAGGGGAGCGAAAGGGAUUAGAUACCCGAGUAGUC
rnacentral:rRNA from 1 species